rnacentral:rRNA from 1 species
GUGAGGAAUUUUCCGCAAUGGGCGAAAGCCUGACGGAGCAAUGCCGCGUGAAGGAUGAAGGCCUAUGGGUUGUAAACUUCUUUCCUUAGAGAAGAAUAUUGACGGUAUCUGAGGAAUAAGCAUCGGCUAACUCUGUGCCAGCAGCCGCGGUAAGACAGAGGAUGCAAGCGUUAUCCGGAAUGAUUGGGCGUAAAGCGUCUGUAGGUGGCUUCAAAAGUCUCCUGUCAAAGAUCAGGGCUUAACCCUGGGCCGGCAGGAGAAACUCUGAGGCUAGAGGUUGGUAGGGGCAGAGGGAAUUCCCGGUGGAGCGGUGAAAUGCGUAGAGAUCGGGAGGAACACCAAAGGCGAAAGCACUCUGCUGGGCCACAACUGACACUGAGAGACGAAAGCGAGGGGAGCAAAAGGGAUUAGAUACCCCUGUAGUCC